UAGUCAGCAGUGCUGGCAGUUGAGAAGAAGAGCUGGAUGUGGAGUGGGGAAGGGGAAUAAGGAAUAGAAUAAGGAAAAAGAAAAAUGAGUACAAACUAAACCUGCCUCUCAUUACCUUAGGCCACCCUGACCUUCAGAACAUACAGCUGCUGCUUUUUGUCUGUCUUCUAAGUGUUGUGUACAUUUUUCUUUUGCCUAGCUCUAAGGCAGAACCAUACAGGGAAGGUAAUUCUGGGAUAUGUAUUUUCCAGCUUUCCAUUAACAUAAAUUGGCCAAAUCCUGCAGUUUUUUGGUCCUUGUCUGCAGAUGAUGAUUUUAAAUAUUUUGCCACUGCAUGCUGUGGACUACUAGUAGCCCCUUUACCAUUGGAAACUGGUCAUUAAUACCUUCAAUCAAAUCAGAGAAGCAACUUCAGGCAAAAAUACGGAAUUGAGGGAGUGAUUGUUUUGGGACAAAGAGAGGUAGAGAUUUUGCCAGAAAUACGUGGAGCUCCUUCCGUUACCAGCAUUCCUUUACCAGAAGGUAAUUACUGUCUUGAAGUUGGUAUUCUUCUAUC
rnacentral:lncRNA from 1 species